ACGGGAAAGGGCGGGGCCAGCCCGGGCGAGGGGGGCUGCAGGCGGUUGCCAUGGCGGCGGCGGACUGUGUGCUGAAGCUGGGGGGUAGCGCGCUGACGCACAAGGAGCGGCGCGAGAGCGCGCGGGACGAGGCGCUGCGCGGCGCCGCGCGGCUGGUGCGGGAGCUGCGCGCGGCCGGCGCCGGGCGCUGCAUAGUGGUGCACGGAGCCGGCUCUUUUGGGCAUUUUCAAGCGAAGGCACAUGGUCUGGCUUCGGGGUCACUGACGAACAGUGAACGUCUACGACAGGGGCUGUGCCUGACCAGGAUAUCUGUCACCAAGCUGAACCACAUGGUGACAGAGCAGCUGGUGAUGUGUGGAGUCCCGGCAGUGGGCAUUUCGCCCUUUGGAGCCUGGAGGACAGCAGGCAGGAAAAUCACCCAGGCUGGCAUUGCUACCAUAAGGGACUCCUUGGAAGCAGGAUACAUCCCAGUCCUUCAUGGGGACUGUGUUCUGGACUCGGAGCAGCACUGUAGUAUCUUAUCUGGUGACACAAUCAUUGAGGUUCUGUCCCAUGAAUUCUCACCGAAGCGAGUGGUGUUUCUUACUGAUAUCGAUGGAAUCUAUGAUCGUCCACCUGAUACCCCAGGUGCCACACUGGUGGAUUCCAUUGCUGUCAAUGCUGAUGGAAGCAUAGAACCACCUGUGCUCACAUCUGUACUGCCACAUGAUGUAACUGGAGGGCUGGCCCUGAAGUUACAGACUGCAAUCAACAUAGUUACUCAGAGUAAUGGCUCCAUCCCUGUGCUGAUCUGUAAACUUGAAAGCGAAGUGGCCAAACAAGCCUGUUUAACUGGAGAGCUUAGAACAGCUAAGUUUCAACUACAAAGGCAUCUUGUGAGCAGCAGCUGUUUCUACAAAGCUGGGGAGAAGGGGAGCCGGGAAGAAGCAAUUAUACCAGCAAGUCAC
rnacentral:lncRNA from 1 species